GGAGCGGGCGCCAUCUUUGUGCGGGGCGCUCAGAACCUGGCUACUAAAGUGCCACGCAGUAAAGAACGGGCACUGUGAAGGGAGGUGCGGGCUGACUGGACACACUUGACUGGAGAGCUGUGCUCCCUCUGCGUCCCAUCACAGCGGUGCUACGGUUUAGUCAACACAUGCUGCAAAUUGAAGGGAACAAAGUAUGUUAGUAACUCAAAUCUGUUUAACUUUGAGGAUUCCAGUGACACCAAUAAUAUGAGAUGAAUUGAUGUGAAGCAAGGAAUGCAACACCUACAUUGAAAAUAUGGAAUGUCCCGUCACAGUGGUUAUCUGCAGUGAAAAGCAAAGCAAAGAAUUCAUGGCAGUUCUGCAUUCUUGUAGCUGAAGAUCCGUGAGCUUUUCUGAAGUAACCUUAAUACCCUGCAGAACAGACAUUUGCAGCAUGACACAGAGAGUGCAUCAUAGAAAGGGAGCUGGAAUGGCGAUCCCCUUUGAGACCCGUCCAGACUUCUUCAGGGGACAAGUGACUUGAGAAAUUGCACACAACUCUGCAUAAAAGAGGAUGGA